rnacentral:rRNA from 1 species
AGUGAACGCUGGCGGUAGGCCUAACACAUGCAAGUCGAACGGCAGCACAGUAAGAGCUUGCUCUUACGGGUGGCGAGUGGCGGACGGGUGCGGAAUACAUCGGAAUCUACUUUUUCUUGGGGGCUAACGUAGGGAAACUUACGCUAUUACCGCAUACGACCUACGGGUGAAAGCAGGGGAUCUUCGGACCUUGCGCGAUUCAAUGAGCCGAUGUCGGAUUAGCUAGUUGGCGGGGUAAAGGCCCACCAAGGCGACGAUCCGUAGCUGGUCUGAGAGGAUGAUCAGCCACACUGGAACUGAGACACGGUCCAGACUCCUACGGGAGGCAGCAGUGGGGAAUAUUGGACAAUGGGCGCAAGCCUGAUCCAGCCAUACCGCGUGGGUGAAGAAGGCCUUCGGGUUGUAAAGCCCUUUUGUUGGGAAAGAAAAGCAGCAGGUUAAUACCCCGCUGUUCUGACGGUACCAAAAGAAUAAGCACCGGCUAACUUCGUG